CAAUCCCUGCGUGGUGCGUGAUGGGCUUUCUAUAAACCCACAUUUCGUUAUACGGGAUGCCGGAUCAGUGAUCUGUUUUGCAGACCUCCCGCCUGUUUUCUGCGGGCGGAAGCUGGGAGCAGUGAAGAAAGCUGUAGGCAACCCACCUGGACCUUUGGUGCAGGUUUAUAACGGGUCCACACGGCCAUGCGGGGAUUCU
rnacentral:other from 1 species